UACGUAGGGCGCAAGCGUUGUCCGGAAUUAUUGGGCGUAAAGAGCUCGUAGGUGGUCUGUUGCGUCCGCUGUGAAAACCCGAGGCUCAACCUCGGGCCUGCAGUGGGUACGGGCAGACUAGAGUGCGGUAGGGGAGAUUGGAAUUCCUGGUGUAGCGGUGGAAUGCGCAGAUAUCAGGAGGAACACCGAUGGCGAAGGCAGAUCUCUGGGCCGUAACUGACGCUGAGGAGCGAAAGCAUGGGGAGCGAACAGG
rnacentral:rRNA from 1 species